AAUUAACUGAUUUCGGCUUGAUAUUGCAGGAGUCGAUAAGAUCCGUAUCUUUCGAUUGAAUAUUAAUGGAGAAAAUUUAUUCGAUCUAACUGCGCGAUUCGUUCAUGGAAUAAUAGAAGAAGUAAACAACGUAUUUUAAACAUUAUAUCAACUCAGCCUUAUUGUUGAGAUUCUCCAAAAUUUCACAAAAGAAGACUAAAUUUCUGGAAACAAUUCCUCUAUACAAAACAAUUCGCAAUUCCAAUGAGAAUUGCGAAGGAAUUAGAAAAAGGCGUGGUGGACAAGAGUAGGUAAAGCACGUUUCUGUGUUGCUAGAGUAGACAUUAAAGGGAGUAUUUCUUAAUUAGCGGCUCGCCUCGAAAAACGAGGUGUCUCGAGCCAAGUCAGCCGCUCCCUCGAUGUGCCAAGCCUUUUACCAUCUUCUCGUAGAUCACGAUUUGCUUUAAGUGCUUAAGUUCCCUAAGGUCGAUGGUAAGGGACGAGAAGCUCGUUCGAAUUCGUUGUACGUGUUCAUGUUAAUCGCGUGAUUUACGAUCCUAAUUAAAGAUUAUAUAUAUAUAUAUAUAUAUAAAUUAUAAUAUUCUUAAUUACAAUAUAAUGAAAAAUAUAAGUGAAUGAGAAGAGAGACGAGGAGUUAUAAAUACAAAAUUGAUCAAGAAGAAACUUUUUUUUUUCUAAUCAAAAAUAUUAGAAGAAUAACUUUUACUUUGAGGUAAAAAGACAACAUUGAUUAACGUUCAUUUAUUCGUGUGAAAUCAAGUUUAUAUCAUUUAUCAAAUUUUCGAAUGUCGACAGCAUUCGAAGUACGAUAUUUAGCUCUUUAGAGGAACAGUAUUUAACCGAGCCUGGCUCUAAAUGGUUCUGAUCAGAAUUCCUGUAUCAAGUAAACGAAUCAAAUACCACGAGUAAAUGUAUUAAGAUAGCGGUCCACUAACCAAGUGAACGGAGAUACAUUUACCGGUCAUCAGGAAAUAAAUUGCUCGGGUUACGGAAAUUGCGAGAUUCCUAGUCUUCUCGGCAUAACGUGUACAUUAGACCAGACAGAAUCCGCCGGUAAACUAAGAAACUUCUUGAUAAAUCGUAUCUGUUUCGCUUGCCAGGAAAUCGUGUGCAGUUAGAUGAACUUGAUUUUUACUCGUACCGGUAAUCGUGUCGAUAUAUUAAUAAACUUGACACUCGAUGAUGAUACUUGAUUGAUACAUUAUAUAAAAAAUAUUUGUCGUUAUAUAUAUAUGUGUGUAUAUGUGUGUGUUGGCAAGGAAAAUAUUAUCGAUUCGUAAAAGAAUUUUCAAACAUCGAUAUGGAGAAUGAUAUUUCAACGAAUUGAAAUCGAUAAAAGAAUGGGUUAAAACGGGUACGAUAAUGAAAAUCCAUCCUUUCAAUAUCUCUCUGGAUGGAUAUCGAUGGAGAGAAAGUACGGAGGGGAGGAGGGGAGAGAAAAAAAAAAACUGCCGGGGAACGAGAAACGACGAGUCGUGUCAGGGCGGAAAAUGGAAUGCAGCAGCUUUGUAUUCAAUUGUUUCGUCUAAAUUUGUUUCCGACAAAAAAAAAAGUCACUUCACCGAACUCGUUGAAAAAGCAAAAACUAAAAGGGAAAUAAAGAAAGGAAAAAGAAGAAAAAAAAAAAGAAAGAAAGAAAGAAAAGUGAAAAAGUGGCUUCCAAUUCUAACUAAUUCAAUA